GGGAUAUGGCAAUGUGAGUUCGGCGUGGCAGCUAUCGUGGUGGUGUCAUGGUGGUGGGAACAGCAGUGAUGGUUUCAGGAAAGAGGCACUGGCCUUUACUUCUCCACCUCGAUUCACUUCCAUGCUGUUGACAAAUGUUAUAGUUGCCCAGGAUCAGAGGGAGAGACUGACCCUGUGACCAUUUCCCCAAAGGCGGCCUUUGGCCACUCCGUGCACUGGAGCACAUGACCCUCUGCCUCGCCCCUGCCACAUUAACCAGGCGGCUAUCUUAUGUGCCCAUGUUACAUGCUCAUGAUAAAGCUGCAUUUCCUGAGGGGACACCAAUGGAUACACCUCUGCCUGGCACGCAGCUUAGAGGCUAAAUGUAUGAAAAGCAACACCAUGCAAAUCAUUUUGAAACUGCUGUGGAACUCUCACGGGACCCUCCAUUCUAGACAUCCAGUCCCACUAGUGAUCUGACCAUGAAACCUACUAAGAGACUUCCAGAAGAAGAUGACCUCUGAAAGGAGAAAACUUUCUUCCAAGCUUCUGUGGAACAAGAAGAUGCCAUCCCUUUGGUGGAGCCCAAAGGGAAACCAGGUAGUUAGCAAGAGAAACUGUUGUUAUCAUCUAUGAAAGGUGCUUCCUGGGGUUUCAGAGGAGGGUGCAGAAGGGGAACAGUGAGUCUGGAGGGACAGAUGGAACAUUCCUGCAAUGCUAUCAAUCCAUAUCUGACCCUCAAUUCAUGAAACUUUCCAGACAACCCACCCUGACAGAUCCCUCUCUUCUUAGAGCUCUCACGUACCUUUCUUUUAGCAUUUAACAUUCAUAACCUCAAAUGAAUGAUUUCUAUGCAUGAGUCAUUUCCUGAGUAGACUGUCAGAUCCUUGAAGGCAGGAAGGCAAUGUAAUAUAAUGGAGAAUAUCCUAUGUCUUCAAAUAGUUAUGAAGAUUAGAAAGGCAAUCUAAGCAACAUCCUUAGCAUAUUACUAGGUGCACAUAAAAAGUGAUGAAUAGACAGAUUUAUGACUAUUCAUUUUUUUUAUCCUUCCUAUCCUUCACCAUGUGGAAGAUACACUGCCAUUACACACACCUCCAAAAAGAAAACUCAGCAUUUCUUAUGUAUCUUCUCUGGGUGAUUUACUAUGUAGAAGUUCAAGUAUGUUAUUAGAAUGCUUCCCCAAUUUAGUUACACACAGAUUCCACUUAAAGUACAGAAUAAAAUCUGACAUAUUCUUUUUAGUAUGAUGUUUUAAAAAAAUAUUUGGAAAGCAAAAUUCUGUUUUACCUCCCAAUGCUUAUUGCUGUUACGAAACUAUAAAACAAAAUAAAUUAAUAAAUUGAAUGCAAACAAA
rnacentral:lncRNA from 1 species